UGGCGGCAGGCCUAACACAUGCAAGUCGAGCGGUAGCACAGGAGAGCUUGCUCUCUGGGUGACGAGCGGCGGACGGGUGAGUAAUGUCUGGGAAACUGCCUGAUGGAGGGGGAUAACUACUGGAAACGGUAGCUAAUACCGCAUGACCUCGCAAGAGCAAAGUGGGGGACCUUCGGGCCUCACGCCAUCGGAUGUGCCCAGAUGGGAUUAGCUAGUAGGUGGGGUAAUGGCUCACCUAGGCGACGAUCCCUAGCUGGUCUGAGAGGAUGACCAGCCACACUGGAACUGAGACACGGUCCAGACUCCUACGGGAGGCAGCAGUGGGGAAUAUUGCACAAUGGGCGCAAGCCUGAUGCAGCCAUGCCGCGUGUGUGAAGAAGGCCUUAGGGUUGUAAAGCACUUUCAGCGAGGAGGAAGGGUUCAGUGUUAAUAGCACUGAGCAUUGACGUUACUCGCAGAAGAAGCACCGGCUAACUCCGUGCCAGCAGCCGCGGUAAUACGGAGGGUGCAAGUGUUAAUCGGAAUUACUGGGCGUAAAGCGCACGCAGGCGGUUUGUUAAGUCAGAUGUGAAAUCCCCGAGCUUAACUUGGGAACUGCAUUUGAAACUGGCAAGCUAGAGUCUUGUAGAGGGGGGUAGAAUUCCAGGUGUAGCGGUGAAAUGCGUAGAGAUCUGGAGGAAUACCGGUGGCGAAGGCGGCCCCCUGGACAAAGACUGACGCUCAGGUGCGAAAGCGUGGGGAGCAAAC
rnacentral:rRNA from 1 species